rnacentral:rRNA from 1 species
GGGUAUACGGAGCUUCACUCCCAACCCCUGUGACAUACCACUUGUUGCCUCGGCGGAUCAGCCCGCUCCCGGUAAAACGGGACGGCCCGCCAGAGGACCCCUAAACUCUGUUUCUAUAUGUAACUUCUGAGUAAAACCAUAAAUAAAUCAAAACUUUCAACAACGGAUCUCUUGGUUCUGGCAUCGAUGAAGAACGCAGCAAAAUGCGAUAAGUAAUGUGAAUUGCAGAAUUCAGUGAAUCAUCGAAUCUUUGAACGCACAUUGCGCCCGCCAGUAUUCUGGCGGGCAUGCCUGUUCGAGCGUCAUUUCAACCCUCAAGCACAGCUUGGUGUUGGGACUCGCGUUAAUUCGCGUUCCUCAAAUUGAUUGGCGGUCACGUCGAGCUUCCAUAGCGUAGUAGUAAAACCCUCGUUACUGGUAAUCGUCGCGGCCACGCCGUUAAACCCCAACUUCUGAAUGUUGACCUCGGAUCAGGUAGGAAUACCCGCUGAACUUAAGCAUAUCUGAGCCGGGGAGGGAAAAACAACAAACAAAGUUUGACCUCAAAUCAGGGGAGGA